AUUGAACGCUGGCGGCAGGCUUAACACAUGCAAGUCGAGCGAGCGGCGGACGGGUGAGUAAUGUCUGGGAAACUGCCUGAUGGAGGGGGAUAACUACUGGAAACGGUCGCUAAUACCGCAUACCAUCAGAUGUGCCCAAAUGGGAUUAGCUAGUGGGGGGGGUAAUGGCUCACCAAGGCGACGAUCCCUAGCUGGUCUGAGAGGAUGACCAGCCACACUGGGACUGAGACACGGUCCGGACUCCUACGGGAGGCAGCAGUGGGGAAUAUUGCACAAUGGGCGCAAGCCUGAUGCAGCCAUGCCGCGUGUGUGAAGAAGGCCUUCGGGUUGUAAAGCACUUUCAGCAAGGAGGCGUUACUCGCAGAAGAAGCACCGGCUAACUCCGUGCCAGCAGCCGCGGUAAUAC
rnacentral:rRNA from 1 species